rnacentral:rRNA from 1 species
AGAGCGAACGCUGGCGGCAGGCCUAACACAUGCAAGUCGAGCGCCCCGCAAGGGGAGCGGCAGACGGGAGAGUAACACGUGGGAACGUACCCUUCAGUUCGGAACAACCCAGGGAAACUUGGGCUAAUACCGAAUACGUCCGUAAGGAGAAAGAUUUAUCGCUGAAGGAUCGGCCCGCGUCUGAUUAGCUUGUUGGUGAGGUAAUGGCUCACCAAGGCUACGAUCAGUAGCUGGUCUGAGAGGAUGAUCAGCCUCACUGGGACUGAGACACGGCCCAGACUCCUACGGGAGGCAGCAGUGGGGAAUAUUGGACAAUGGGCGCAAGCCUGAUCCAGCCAUGCCGCGUGGGUGAUGAAGGCCCUAGGGUUGUAAAGCUCUGUCGGAGGGAAGAACACAAUGACGGUACCCUCCAAGAAAGCCCCGGCUAACUACGUGCCAGCAGCCGC